rnacentral:rRNA from 1 species
UACGUAGGGUGCGAGCGUUGUCCGGAAUUAUUGGGCGUAAAGGGCUCGUAGGCGGUCUGUUGCGUCGGGAGUGAAAACUCAGGGCUUAACCCUGAGCCUGCUUCCGAUACGGGCAGACUAGAGGUAUGCAGGGGAGAACGGAAUUCCUGGUGUAGCGGUGAAAUGCGUAGAUAUCGGGAGGAACACCUGUGGCGAAGGCGGCCCCCUGGUUGGAUACUGACGCUGAUACGCGAAAGCGUGGGGAGCAAACAGG